GCUUAUUUUAUGGUUACAUCUUUUUCAUUUAAAAAAAAAGGUUUCAUUGAUUGAAAUUUUUAAAUCAUGGUUGUUUUAUCAGGUAAAUAAUCCAGAAUGUUUAUAAUUUAUUUUAUAAAGGAAUUUACAAAACAUUUACCUAUUUUGUGAUGAAGUAAGAAAACGAAUAUGGGGAUUCCGUGUUUUAUUUUUUGCUUUCGGGGAGCACAUUAUAAGAGCUGUCUUCUCAUAUAUAUAUAUUAUUUAAAACUCUA